rnacentral:rRNA from 1 species
CAGCACCUCAAGUGGUCAGGAUGACUAUUGGGCCUAAAGCAUCCGUAGCCUGCUUUGUUAGUUUUCGGUUAAAUCCGUACGCUCAACGUAUGGGCUGCCGGGAAUACUGCAGCGCUAGGGAGUGGGAGAGGUAGACGGUACUCGGUAGGAAGGGGUAAAAUCCUUUGAUCUAUUGAUGACCACCUGUGGCGAAGGCGGUCUACCAGAACACGUCCGACGGUGAGGGAUGAAAGCUGGGGGAACAAACCGGAUUAGAUACCCGAGUAGUCC